UACGAGAGGCCCAAACGUUAUUCGGAUUUACUGGGCGUAAAGCGCACGUAGGCGGCUUUUUAAGUCGGGGGUGAAAUCCUGGAGCUCAACUCCAGAACUGCCUUCGAUACUGAAGAGCUUGAGUUCGGGAGAGGUGAGUGGAACUGCGAGUGUAGAGGUGAAAUUCGUAGAUAUUCGCAAGAACACCAGUGGCGAAGGCGGCUCACUGGCCCGAUACUGACGCUGAGGUGCGAAAGCUAGGGUAGCGAACGGG
rnacentral:rRNA from 1 species